rnacentral:misc_RNA from 1 species
AAGUCGUAACAAGGUAACCGUAGGUGAACCUGCGGUUGGAUCAUUACCGAUUUUGCCGGGGGUCGAGUCAUUUUGAUUCCCCCUGGCGAUAUACCACUGUGCACUGAAUGUAUUUUGGGCCAUGCCCAGCAUUAUGAACCAACGAAAUUUUUUGUCUUUUAUUCUAAAUAGAAACAACUUUUGACAACGGAUCUCUUGGCUCUC